GGCUCUCCGCUUUUAAAGUGUUUUUGGGAAGAGAUACCCAUUGUGUCCAUUCUGAUCCUUUGAGGAGGGUCCCCGAGCCUGGACACGUCUAUGCUUGACUCCUGCUGUAAACCAACAGCUUUCAGAUUUCUCCUGAAACGCCAUUUAACACUCUGGAUUAGCUUUCCUAAACCCAGCAUGAUCGCUUUUCCUUUUUAGGCUAGUUUCUGUUCCUCUCCUUCCGGCCAGGCCAGCGUGGCCUUACUUUCACAUCCGCCCCAAGCAACCUUUAUUCCCAGAACGCUCCGCUUUAAAGAAACCUCUCAGGACCGUGCCUUUGAGGAUCAGAGCUAAAGGAGUACUUCCUACCGACCUCUGGCUGCCAAAAAAUACAAUAAAAUAGAGCCACGUCACGCGCCAGGAGGAGUGUAUCAUCUGGGCACCUCUUUCUUUCCUGGUGGCGUCUGCUAGGGAGCUGAGGCGGAAUGUUGCCUGGCCCUAGGGUAGCACUUGACAAAGCUUCUUUCCAGGCGUUACUUCCCCAGGCCUGCCGUCUCAGAGUCAUGAAGUCUUCUGUCAGAGGGAAAAGGUCAUGCUUCCAACCAGAAGAAAGGUCAGCUCUACUAGAGCCAAGGGAUUAUGCUCUGACGCUUGUCACCAAGCCAAAACCAGGUUUGAAAAUUUAUUGUGAAAACAGAAAGAACAAAGAGAAAGCACGUAUAGCCACAACCUCAAAGUUGUAAUGGUUCUUAAAGCUCUAAGCCACUUCUCCGUCGUACCACAUUGAGAAUAGACGGCACAGGGAAUUGGAGAGCCUCGAAGGACCUGCUUCACCCGUGUGAACUGCUGAUCCGUGUGACUGGACCUUACGCUGGAAAAGUCAUCCACUCACACUGUUGAUAAAGGAAGUGGAUUGUUAACUUUCAAUUAAAUGUGCUUAUAAAGGAAAUUUGAUAAUCACGUAAGGCUUGAUUACCAAGCAAACAAAAUAAACCAGGAAGAUAAACAUAGCAUUUUCCUAGGAAAUGCACUUGCCCAAUUAUCCCCAUUACUUAUUUCCAGAUGCCCAUUUUAGAAGGGAAAAAAAUUCUCUCCCCUCACCUUUUUCAAAUUCAAGCAUUGAAAAUCAGUGUAAAACAUCUCAUUUUAUUAAGGGCUUUCUUUAUACUAACUUAUGACGAGUACUAUUGUAUGCUGUAUUGGAAAACUUGGCCUUUUUUUGUACAUGAUGUCUAUGUCAUGGAAAUGGUAAAUAACUUUUCACACAGCCUGUCCUUUAGCACAGCAGCUGGAGCAAUAAUGUGCUAUAAGUGAUAGUUACACUGCCAAUUAGUUAAGGAGAUGGGACUUGAAUGCUUUCCCAAGUCACCCAAAUAAAAUGCUCAGAGAAUUAAUGUUUUAUCCUCCAGGGAUCAAUGGAUUUCAUUCUCUCCUCAGAAAGGUAACUAAUAACAUCUGCAUUAUCUUUCAAAACAUAUUUGUGUCUCUUAGCAAGCGUAGGAGGCAGAAUUUAUUUUAAGAUAACUUUAAGAUGGGAGUCUAAUGUUACUCUCAUAUGUGUCCCCACUGAAUGAUUCUAAUAAAUCUCGCAAGAUUAAAUAAAUUAUUUUGGGCCAACUUUAACUAAUCUAAAUGUCUCCAUGUAGAUUAUAAAUUUCUCAAGGACAAAGCCUACAUCUUAUACUUCUUGAUGUCUCCCCACCUAGCACAGUGCCCUACAGAUUUGAUAAAUGCCAUGAUGAUCUUGCAUGCAACAGUGAUGAUGUUGAUGAUCAUUUCUUGCAAUGAAAAUAAAGGAAACCACUAAAUCUAUCAACUCAGCAGAAUUUUUGGAAGAUAAUAAAGUUCUUUGUAAUUAUUUGA
rnacentral:lncRNA from 1 species